rnacentral:tRNA from 1 species
UCCGUAGUUCAGUGGUAGAACACCAGCUUCCCAAGCUGGCUAUACGGGUUCGAUUCCCGCCGGGU